UACUACUAUACAGUGGUUAGUACUCCACGUUGUGGCCGUGGCGACGCUGGUUCGAUUCCAGCAGCAGGCAACUC
rnacentral:tRNA from 1 species